UGGCGGCGUGCCUAAACAUGCAAGUCGAACGAGAAAGUGGAGCAAUCCAUGAGUAAAGUGGCGACCGGGUGAGUAACACGUGACUAACCUACCCUCGAGUGGGGAAUAACUCCGGGAAACCGGGGCUAAUACCGCAUAACAUCGCAAGAUCAAAGCAGCAAUGCGCUUGAGGAGGGGGUCGCGGCUGAUUAGCUAGUUGGCGGGGUAACGGCCCACCAAGGCGAAGAUCGGUAUCCGGCCUGAGAGGGCGCACGGACACACUGGAACUGAAACACGGUCCAGACUCCUACGGGAGGCAGCAGUGGGGAAUUUUGCGCAAUGGGGGAAACCCUGACGCAGCAACGCCGCGUGGAGGAUGAAGCCCUUUGGGGCGUAAACUCCUUUCGACUCGGACGAUAAUGACGGUACGAGUGGAAGAAGCACCGGCUAACUCUGUGCCAGCAGCCGCGGUAAUACAGAGGGUGCGAGCGUUGUUCGGAAUUAUUGGGCGUAAAGGGCGCGUANGCGGUGCGGUAAGUCACCUGUGAAAUCUC
rnacentral:rRNA from 1 species